CUAUACUGCUAUUUAAUCUACUUCCACAGACUUCUGGCAAUGGGCUGUAGCAUGACUCUCUCGUGUAACAGGAAAAAUAAGGACUACAUUUGGGGAUGAAGACAUAUUCACUUCCUCAACAGAAUUGUACAGCCCCAUACACUCUGUUGGAUCACUUCUAUUCUUCAGGGUCUUCUGGCAGUGGGCAGAGCUGGAGCAUCUUUCAAGGUGCCACAAAAGGAAUUAUGUGGAGUAUAAACACUUCAGAAAAUAUGGGUUCCUGCUGCAGAAACAAAGAAACAAACUCAGGACAGAUAAUCUUUUGUAGGUAUAUAAAACAAGGCCGGAUGAAGCUGCUGCAAAGAAGAAUUAUAUACAAAUGCAUUUAUUUCUCUGGUUGUUGGGGUAUUACCCUUGCCAAGAUAGGAUUUUUUUGUUUGAUUUUUUGUUUGUUUUGCUGCCCUGUAAAGAAGUUUCAGGUCAAGGACAGGGAGCUUAAAUGACCUGACACUGACAGAACCAGAAGCCAGGUGUCCCAUCCUUGAACCAGAAAGACAGCAGUCAUAGAAUCAUAGAAUAUCCUGAGUUGGAAGGGACCCAUUGUACUGGGUCUGGCUGGGAUGUUAACUUUCCCUGCAGCAGCCCGUACAGUGCUCUGCACUUAUAGCUAGAAGAGCAAUGGUAUCACACCAGUGUUGUCUGCUGCUGAGCAGUGCUGGCUCAGCAUCAGGACUCUCUCUAACCUUCUUAGGGGGUGGGCAAAAAAAUGAGAAAAGAAACACUCAGCAACAAAAGGUGGAAACAGGAAGAAGAGGAGAGGGGUGGGCUCUCGUGAAAACGUCAGUCCUCCUCCUAAACAGCGACUACGUGCGUUGAGGCCCGGCUUCAAUGAUGUGGUCAAGCAUCUCUCAUUUGUGGAAAGCAGAGAGUAAUUUCUUUCCUCUGCACUUCCACUUCCACAUCAUAUAGCCUUUUUUUUUUUUUUCCCUUUUCCCCCUCCUUUUUUUUUUCCUUUAGUUAAAUUGUUUGGUUAAUAAUACAAUUAUUAUACAAUUGUUAAUAAUAAACAACCUAUGAUUUGUUCUUUACUUUACUUC
rnacentral:lncRNA from 1 species